rnacentral:rRNA from 1 species
UACGGGGGGAGCAAGCGUUGUUCGGAUUUACUGGGCGUAAAGGGCGCGUAGGCGGUCAGCACAAGUCAGUUGUGAAAUCUCCGGGCUUAACUCGGAAAGGUCAACUGAUACUGUGCGACUAGAGUGCAGAAGGGGCAACUGGAAUUCCCGGUGUAGCGGUGAAAUGCGUAGAUAUCGAGAGGAACACCUGCGGCGAAGGCGGGUUGCUGGGCUGACACUGACGCUGAUGCGCGAAAGCCAGGGGAGCGAACGGG